AGAGUUUGAUUAUGGCUCAGGAUGAACGCUGGCGGCGUGCUUAACACAUGCAAGUCGAACGAAGAUACUUAAAAUGAGAGCUUCGGCAGGAUUUUUAUUUAUCUUAGUGGCGGACGGGUGAGUAACGUGUGGGCAACCUGCCCUAUACUGGGGAAUAAUCACUGGAAACGGUGACUAAUACCGCAUGUCAUUACGGAAGGGCAUCCUUCUGUAAGAAAAGGAGUAAUUCGGUAUAGGAUGGGCCCGCAUCUGAUUAGCUAGUUGGUGAGAUAACAGCCCACCAAGGCGACGAUCAGUAGCCGACCUGAGAGGGUGAUCGGCCACAUUGGGACUGAGACACGGCCCAA
rnacentral:rRNA from 1 species